rfam:Triticum aestivum genome assembly, contig: Triticum_aestivum_CS42_TGACv1_scaffold_129297_2BL
UAUGUACUCCCUCCGUCCAAAAAUACUUGUCAUCAAAAUGGAUAAAAAAAGACGCAUUUAGAACUAAAAUCAUUCUAGAUACAUCUCUCCUUUUAUCCAUUUUGAUGACAAGUAUUUCCGGACGAAGGAAGUAUGUG